GGAAUGCCGAACGUCACAAAUUACGUCAUCAUGCGGAUUAGAAACAGACUAGAAAGAGCAAAAUAUUUUCAACUGCAUAUUUGCUGUAUUUGCAUGGCACUCCAUUAUACCACACUGAUGGCUUCUCCAAGAUUAUGAAUAUGAUACAUGUAAACAGUGAGCUUUCGCUGAUGGACACAAAUUGUUCAGAAAAAAUCCAGCUACCACAUUAAUCACAGCCAUAGAUUUCUGGCGUGCCUUCAGUAGGAACAUAGAUGCAAUGAUGAAACAAUCUCCAGACAGAUGGGUGGCCCUUGAGCAGAGAAUGUUAAAAAGAAUUGAAGCAUUCAAUAAAGGAGAUUAAGAAACAGAAUGUGUCCAGUUGUUUGUUCAUCAAAAGAAUAACUUGGAUAAUCAUAGUGGUGCUUCCUCAAAAUCUGCAUGUGUUAAAAUUAAGCAGUUUCAUAUUAAGAUUUUGAUAAAGCUCAUUAAGUCA